CCUACGGGUGGCAGCAGUGAGGAAUAUUGGUCAAUGGACGAGAGUCUGAACCAGCCAAGUAGCGUGAAGGAUGACUGCCCUAUGGGUUGUAAACUUCUUUUAUAUGGGAAUAAAAUGUUCCACGUGUGGGAUUUUGUAUGUACCAUAUGAAUAAGGAUCGGCUAACUCCGUGCCAGCAGCCGCGGUAAUACGGAGGAUCCGAGCGUUAUCCGGAUUUAUUGGGUUUAAAGGGAGCGUAGGUGGAUUGUUAAGUCAGUUGUGAAAGUUUGCGGCGCAACCGUAAAAUUGCAGUUGAAACUGGCAGUCGUGAGUACAGUAGAGGUGGGCGGAAUUCGUGGUGUAGCGGUGAAAUGCUUAGAUAGCACGAAGAACUCCGAUUGCGAAGGCAGCUCACUGGACUGCAACUGACACUGAGGCUCGAAAGUGUGGGUAUCAAACAGGAUUAGAUACCCCAGUAGUC
rnacentral:rRNA from 1 species